UGGGGAAUAUUGGACAAUGGGCGAAAGCCUGAUCCAGCCAUGCCGCGUGUGUGAAGAAGGUCUUCGGAUUGUAAAGCACUUUAAGUUGGGAGGAAGGGCAGUAAGCGAAUACCUUGCUGUUUUGACGUUACCGACAGAAUAAGCACCGGCUAACUCUGUGCCAGCAGCCGCGGUAAUACAGAGGGUGCAAGCGUUAAUCGGAAUUACUGGGCGUAAAGCGCGCGUAGGUGGUUCGUUAAGUUGAAUGUGAAAGCCCCGGGCUCAACCUGGGAACUGCAUCGAAAACUGGCGAGCUAGAGUAGGGCAGAGGGUGUGGAAUUUCCUGUGUAGCGGUGAAAUGCGUAGAUAUAGGAAGGAACACCAGUGGCGAAGGCGACCACCUGGGCUCAUACUGACACUGAGGUGCGAAAGCGUGGGGAGCAAACAGG
rnacentral:rRNA from 1 species